UCCCUGGAGGACUAGUGGUUAGGCCUCAGUACUCUUACCAUCGUGGCCCGCGUUCAAUCCCGGCCAUGGAA